rnacentral:rRNA from 1 species
GACGAACGCUGGCGGCGUGCCUAAUACAUGCAAGUCGAACGCAGUGGGGACGGGUGAGUAACACGUGGGUAACCUCCCAUCAGAGGGGAUAACACUUGGAAACAGGUGCUAAACCGAUACUGAUGGAUGGAACCGCGGUGCAUUAGCUAGUUGGUGAGGUAACGGCUCACCAAGGCAACGAUGCAUAGCCGACCUGAGAGGGUGAUCGGCCACAAUGGGACGGAUACACGGCCCAGACUCCUACGGUAGGCAGCGUUGGGGAAUCUGCGGCAAUGGACGAAAGUCUGACCGAGCAACGCCGCGUGUGUGAAGAAGGUUUUCGGAUCGUAAAACUCUGUUGUUAGAGAAGCGUUAUCUGACCAGAAAGCCACGGCUAACUACGUGCCAGCAGCCGCGGUAAUAC